GUUGCCCCACGCCAAGCGAGAUCUUUCAAAUCUUCUCUAUCAUUGUCAUUGCAAAAGGACUUUCAUCAGUGGCUCGCUGACAAUCUCCCCCAAACCCUACAAGAGAUUCAAAUAAUGGAUCAACAAGCUUGUCCCUUCAUAUUGUCAAACACGGGCUGACUGGAUCAUCUACUUUGGUCAUUCAAAUUAUAAAACACAAUCAUGAUAUUGAAAUCUCAUCUCAUUCCAUCACGUGAGCUUUUCCCAGUUUUUUUAAAGAGCUUUUCUCAGUUUUGGACAAACUGAAUGACGGUGACGAUUUGUAUAUUGUAGCUUUUUCUUUCAUACACUUCACUGAGUAGAUGGGAGAGCGCGCUGUGCCCUAUGUUCAACCCCAAAAACCUUGAUUCAAGGUUUGUUAGGUCAUAGUAGUUGUCAUCACUCGCAAGCUUGCUUGUGCACUUU